CAUUUGGCAGGGUUUUUGCUUUUUAUGGCAAUGCUACUGAAGUCAUCUUAACCAGCUUCCAUGCCAUGUUCCCUGUGCUGCUAGCACAGCAAAAAAUACCUUUUUUUUAUUAUUAUUUUUUUAUUUUUUCCAUCUGGAUCAGUUAUCUGGUCUGGUUGCCAGUGUGGGUGUCCAAACAGCCGUGCCAGCUCCCUGAUGGGAGUGAUGUGGAAUAUGGACUGCUACUAAGAAAAUUCCUGGGAACCACGGUCUCACCCGUCAUACCGCAGCACGCUGUCAGCAGCAGCCCAAGAACGUCCCUGCUCGGUGCCACGGUCACCCACAGGAGCCAGCUGUCUAGCACAGAUAAGGCUAGAAAGAGAUUUCUCUAAUGCUAUCAUUCAGCAAUCUGGGGUAAAACCUUCUUUAACUCUGUUCUGAAGAAUUUGUACUCAAGAGGGAGGGAAACCCUCGGGUUAAACUAAAAAAGCCUAGUACGUUAUCUGUCAGGAAGCACCUCUGUGCCAUCUGGGCAAUGAGGCAGACAGUGAUAAUGUGGCUUAGUUCUCCUCAUGUGCUUAGUGGGGGAAUACCUUAUCAGCAAAUAAAGUAGAAGUAUUUCACUUGUAUUUCCUUUCCUGGAUUGUACGAACACAAUUACAGAAGUAAAUUGCCAGCAAAUAGGUUUACUUUGUGCAACGCUACUUUCUAGUGUUUUAUUAACAGCAAAGCUUUUUGCAACCACCACCAAAUUCUUGCAACACCAGAGAGAUAAAACACCAUGCACAGCCUACUGGGCCCAAGCAGGGACUGACAGAUUUGAGGUACCUGGAAAUGAAAACUGAGGCUCCAGGUCUUGGCUGUCCUUUGGAACAAGCUGCCCGUGCCCGCGGUAUGCCUGGAAUGCACCGGGAAUGGUCUCGGCUUGACAGCACAGCCUCUCCCUUGACUCACUUUAUCACCUGACAAGAAGUGAAAGGGACCAGAAAUAUAAAUGCUAGCUUAGCAAAAUAAGGAGGAGUUAAAACGUGCCCAGACAGGCUGUCAGCCCAGGAUAUCGGCUUGGAGGUCCUGGCCAGAGGUGUCGGAAACAUCGUCUGGAAGUCAGGCAUCAGUUCUUUUCCUGUCCUGGUUUGGCCGAGAUACCCGAUCACCAGUCUGGCACCUUUUGAGACCUGCUGUGCAAAGCUGGG